UUUAUAAUCUGGCUUCUCCAGUAAACCCUUAAAAUUUCCAGCAUUAUUUAGAGACAACGAGCAGAGAAAGACUCAUCCACAAAUAAAGCAACUCACCAGCAAGGAGCACGCCACAAAGACAUGAGCUUAAAGCUUCAGCGAAGACAGGAUUUGUGGGGAUGGAUGGAUUAGGUGUGAGGAUGAUGGGUCAUCUGGGGAGACUUGCUGGGGGGAGACUCAGGAAAUGGAUUUCCCAAGCCCACCUAGGACCCCCUCCACCCCCGUGUGGAAGCUGAACAAGGCGAGGAAACGGGGGUAGAAAGAGGUUAAUGGGACGAAGAAGAGAAAGAGAGAUGAGGUCGUUUUUCCUGCCUUGUAUAUCUGCAGCAGUUACCUCUGACCUCUUUGAUUAAUGCUUUUCUGAUGAACCUCUGAGGCCUUGACUGAACUGAGACCUGUGUUUAAUUAAAUAUGACAUCUUAAGCUACAAUCAUGAAUGCUCAGGCAAGUUCGCAUGACCACCGAUGAUGGCAGAUAAACAGCCUUCCUGCGACAGUUUCCUGCCUUCGUUCCCCCUGAGAGGACGAAGGUCUUUUCAAAAACGCUAAAGCUUCCUUCAGAUUCAGUCGACAAGCCGAAGUUGAUCUCUCGCCACAGAAUUAAACAGAAAGCACAAUCCUGAAAGUUAAAGUUUUUCCUGCCAGCGUAUCUGAUGUGGAAAAUGAGACGAAGCUUUCCUGAUCCACAAAACUGGAAAUGUAGCCAAAGACUAGAAGUGAGCAUCACUAAUAGAGAUGCAGACGUUUCAACCUUACAGUGAAUGCUUGCUGCUGACCUGAGACGCAGGACUGCAGAAACAACGAGAGGUCAUUUUUCUAAGCUACUGA